UAGGGAGACCUAAUCCACUUAGAAAUCGAAAACAAUGAAAAUUGUCAAUAGAAACUAAAUUGGUCUAACCUAGGUCGUUCGAGAUUGGUAGACAUCUUUCAAAGUAUUAUUCGGCUUCGUUCAAAACCAUAUAUAAUAAAUGGAAAAAGACAGCACCUAAUUGUCAAAGUUAGACUGCUGGAUGAAAUUCCAGCCAGAACCUUGAAAACUGCAUAAGAGAACGAGAAAAAGCAGGCAGACACAGACAUUUAGAUGGAUGUGAAAGCAAAAGAAAUUGU
rnacentral:misc_RNA from 1 species